GUCUAGGGCCAUAUCACGCUGAAAGCACCGGUUCUCGUUCGAUCACCGAAGUUAAGCAGCGUCGAGCCCGGUUAGUACUUGGGAGGGAGACCACCUGGGAAUACCGGGUGUCCUAGACA